AUAUUCAGGUGAUAUCCCGCUCUGAACUUACUUCGGUGCGCGCCUCCUGACUGACUGGUACCGUUUGUAUCUGCGAUCUUCUGCGAAUCAUCGACAUCGUAUAUUAUGUAGUCUUCUCAGACUAAAGGGAUGGAGUCCCUAGCUAAAAUUAUUAACCAGUCAGUAGUUUAGUUGGAAGUAGAGAAACUUAGUAUUUUUAUAUAAAUUUUUUUUAAUUAAUCAUGAUGACUUCCGUGGCUACCGCGAAUCGUGGUUCGAGUUUGCGGAGACGAGACGCCCUCUCCUGAGCGCCAGGACCAAUACCCUGUUUUGACAGGGUUCCAAGUUUGGGGCAACCAAAAUCCUCUGCCAGAACCUCUGGAGUCGGUUCCUGCGCAGAAUCCAACAUCAUUAGGCCUACUACCUUGAUCACCGUCUACCUACAGCCCCGGGUGAUACCCGCAUAAUUCUAUCUUUUUAUUCAUGAACCCAAGAUUAGUGUAACCCAGUUAAGACAGCGGACAGUAAAAGGCAGUUCGAGGAGAAGAAAUUUAUAUUAUGUUUUGGAAGGACUAUAUGUACAAUCUUUAAAGUUAACAAUGUUAAUUUCAUUCUUGUUUUUAAAUAUUUUAAUUUUUGUUAUACAUUCAGGGCCGGCCCUAUCGUAAAUAACGUUAAGGAAUAUCAUAUAAUAAGUGUAAUUGUGAGUUAUGUAAAUAAGAUCACUUAUCAAUGAAAAACAGUCUUUACUAAGGAAAAUUUAAUCUAUAAAAAAAAAGAACAAUGAUUAAUAAAAUAAGGAAGUCUAUAGACGUAACAGUUGUUUUUAUUUAUUUAAUAUAUAAUAACGAUCCUUUUACUCCCAAGUAUUUGUAGGGAGUCCCUAAAUUUUCUUUGUUUACUCCUAGUGUCGCCUCUGUUGUUGACUUUUAUAGUUAUUAAUUGAGGGCCUCAGUAAUCAAAGCUUCCAAAUCUUUUAACCUUAUUAUUUAAUUAUUCUUUAGACACUUGGGGUAUUACAAAAUGGUAGCAGAGCAUGGUUACGUCUAUAGGCAUACCUAAUUUGAAAGGUCAUACCUUAAAUUAAAAUUUAAAAAAAAAAUUGAAUAAAAAAAAUAUUUUUUUAUAUUUUUUUUGUCAUUUAGAAUCUUUUUGUAGUAAGUAAUUUGUGAACUGUCCGCUGAUACACGUAGUAGCUAAAUUGACCCUUGAAUCUAUAAUUAUCAUAAGUUUUGUGUGUUUACAUUUGAGCGCGCACUGUGAGCAGCUGGCUGGCUGCCCGCCCACGCAACUCGGGCCGCGCGCGUGGCUUAUCAACAGAGACGUGUCCGCUGGACAAGAUACUCCCUCCCCCCCACACCCCUAGUUAAAGGCGCUGCGCGCCAAGGUCAGUCCUGCCGGCUGACGUGACGUUCCUUGUAGGUACCCUGUUGUGCAAGCUAACCUGACAGCUUGUUACACCCGAGUACUCUGUUCAUUUCCCGACGCGGGUAGUAAUAAUAAUAAAUAAAUUAUGAAGGCACAUACUUCCCACGCAAUAAAGCAAUUGUUUUAAUCAUAAGCUAGAUUUAAGUGUAUACCUAAGUUUAGAGUUUAAGAGAUAAUUUUAUGAGGGUAUUGUUUUGUUUUGUGUAAUACUAUGAAUCCGGACAGGAUGAUUACUCCGGAGCUAUUACUAGUAGAUGAAUUAAGUUACGAGUUGCAGUUGCGUAAUUUACCAACUACUGGAAAUGCGCAAGAGCUGCGAAAAAGGCUUCGAGCCGCAGUACGUGAUAAGUUACCUACCUCAGUACAUAAUCUAAAUUUAGAAAUACUCGAGGAAUUCAACAUAGCUUGCUCCAAAUUUUACGACAUAGCUGCUUUCGUAAGUUAUUCAGAUGUGGAAGAGAAUUUGCCCAAUGUAAAGCGACACAUUAUGCGAUUAGAGCAUGUCACCAGACGACUGGAAAAUCUUGUGGUACUUUCCGCAGAUGUGCUCAAUGGUGUUUAUCGAACAGAGCUAGAUCGUUGUCUGCAACAGACAAACGCCUUCCAAAUUAAAUUGAAAGCUAGGGCAGCCCAAUUAGAAUCUCAACAGGACCUCCGGGCCAACAUUGCCCAGGCAGAAAACCUAGGAAUUGAAACACUAGGAAAUGUAGAGAGUGAAAGUCUGGAAUUUCCUCAGGAAAUAAGGCAACCCGACACACAAGUAUCUUUGUGUCAAACAAGGCAGGUUCCGCCCAUUUCAUCAACAUCAACAUCUCAAUCACUCAUCACGGUUUCUAACCCCAGUGACUGUGAGUCUAGCCGACCCCAGUUCCGGAGAGUAUAUGACACGAGCGCACAUCUCCCACCUUAAGAAAGCGCAUCCGAAUUUAAAAUAGGAGCGAUUACUUUCUCUAAGCCUUGGCAUGCCAGAUAUAUAUAUUUAAGACUCAAUAAGGAGUUUAACUGAAGAAUACAAAACCUAGGUAGUAACAUUAAGUAACAAUAAAAAUCCAUGGUACUAGUUUGUAAGAAAACUUAAUAUAAGGUGUUAGUUUAAGUGGCCACUUAAGUUAAUAAUGUUAUUUAAGUUAAUGAAUUUAAUCAUGUUAGUCAUUAAGAAUGUGCACAUUAGUUCAUAAGAGUGUUUAAUAUUUUUUUUGUGUUUUAGCAUGUAAGUAGUAGGAUACAGGCGAACCUGGUACCUCGUCCUACUGAAGUUUUUGGUUUCUUGUUUUUGCUUUCCCCUAAGCUCCGCUUUAACGCGGGGGAGUAUGUGCCGUAAAUUAGAGAUUUAGGCACGUUUAUUUAAAAUUUUGUAAUCUGAAAUAUUUUGGAAAUAUUAUUUUUUUUUUCUCUCAUCUUAUUUUCUUUACGGCCAGGCCCUCAGCCUCUGUUCUCAGAGGCGAGCUGAUUUUCUUUCCCAGCCUCAUGCUAGGCUAGCAUUCUGGCUAAUAUUUCUCCCGCCUCCAGGCACGUCGGAGCCGGUAACGUUAUUUCUUCGCGGGUCACCUUUUGCUAAGAGCAGCUUGUGAAGCAGUGCUAAGCCCUGCUAACUCUGUCACGAAUCGGUAUAAGGUUCACUAGCAGCAAGACACGACAGGAGGAUCCCGUGGGCCUUGUGUCCCACAGACCAUGCGUUUUUUGAAGCCACCCCCCGCCUGCUCACCCACCCUCUCUUCUCAGAAGUGGCUAGGAGCGACGACCGCUCGAGUGCGUUAACCGAAGUCAAGGCCAUCUCAGGCUUGACAGCCGCAGUUACGAUUCUGCACCUUAACGACACCUAGCGACGGCUUUGGUAACUAAUGCCACUUGUGAGGCGUCGGCAGCGCCGACACUACCGCGCUCGCGCGGAGGUAACGACAACCUUUCCCCUCCUUAUGUCUCAGGCCGCUAGGUGGCACCACUGGUUACUCCAUUAACCCCCCUAGCUUGACACUCUCGUCGGUCACAAGUCGAUUUAUUAGUACUUCCUCUCGCCACCAAAAGAUAGCGCCUCAGUCGCGCAGUCACUCCAGUAAGAUCUAUUUUUUUAUGCCGGACACCUUCGGGUGGGCUCGGUAAUUUUCGGCUCAGAGCCUAACCCCCCUCCCAUUCUCUAGAGACCACGCGCUUAUGAUAUUCAGGUGAUAUCCCGCUCUGAACUUACUUCGGUGCGCGCCUCCUGACUGACUGGUACCGUUUGUAUCUGUGAUCUUCUGCGAAUCAUCGACAUCGUAUAUUAUGUAGUCUUCUCAGACUAAAGGGAUGGAGUCCCUAGCUAAAAUUAUUAACCAGUCAGUAGUUUAGUUGGAAGUAGAGAAACUUAGUAUUUUUAUAUAAAUUUUUUUUAAUUAAUCAUGAUGACUUCCGUGGCUACCGCGAAUCGUGGUUCGAGUUUGCGGAGACGAGACGCCCUCUCCUGAGCGCCAGGACCAACACCCUGUUUUGACAGGGUUCCAAGUUUGGGGCAACCAAAAUCCUCUGCCAGAACCUCUGAAGUCGGUUCCUGCGCAGAAUCCAACAUCAUUAGGCCUACUACCUUGAUCACCGUCUACCUACAGCCCCGGGUGAUACCCGCAUAAUUCUAUCUUUUUAUUCACGAACCCAAGAUUAGUGUAACCCAGUUAAGACAGCGGACAGUAAAAGGCAGUUCGAGGAGAAGAAAUUUAUAUUAUGUUUUGGAAGGACUAUAUGUACAAUCUUUAAAGUUAACAAUGUUAAUUUCAUUCUUGUUUUUAAAUAUUUUAAUUUUUGUUAUACAUUCAGGGCCGGCCCUAUCGUAAAUAACGUUAAGGAAUAUCAUAUAAUAAGUGUAAUUGUGAGUUAUGUAAAUAAGAUCACUUAUCAAUGAAAAACAGUCUUUACUGAGGAAAAUUUAAUCUAUAAAAAAAAAGAACAAUGAUUAAUAAAAUAAGGAAGUCUAUAGACGUAACAGUUGUUUUUAUUUAUUUAAUAUAUAAUAACGAUCCUUUUACUCCCAAGUAUUUGUAGGGAGUCCCUAAAUU